AUUGAACGCUGGCGGCAGGCUUAACACAUGCAAGUCGAGCGGAGCGAGGGUGCUUGCACCUUAGCUUAGCGGCGGACGGGUGAGUAAUGCUUAGGAAUCUGCCUAUUAGUGGGGGACAACAUUCCGAAAGGGAUGCUAAUACCGCAUACGCCCUACGGGGGAAAGCAGGGGAUCUUCGGACCUUGCGCUAAUAGAUGAGCCUAAGUCGGAUUAGCUAGUUGGUGGGGUAAAGGCCUACCAAGGCGACGAUCUGUAGCGGGUCUGAGAGGAUGAUCCGCCACACUGGGACUGAGGCACGGCCCAGACUCCUACGGGAGGCAGCAGUGGGGAAUAUUGGACAAUGGGCGGAAGCCUGAUCCAGCCAUGCCGCGUGUGUGAAGAAGGCCUUUUGGUUGUAAAGCACUUUAAGCGAGGAGGAGGCUACUAGUAUUAAUACUACUGGAUAGUGGACGUUACUCGCAGAAUAAGCACCGGCUAACUCUGUGCCAGCAGCAGCCGCGGUAA
rnacentral:rRNA from 1 species